GUGUUCGAAAGGGAAACAGCCCAGACCACCAGCUAAGGUCCCAAAAUAUAUGUUAAGUGGAAAAGGAUGUGGCGUUGCCCAGACAACUAGGAUGUUGGCUUAGAAGCAGCCAUCAUUUAAAGAGUGCGUAAUAGCUCACUAGUCGAGUGACACUGCGCCGAAAAUGUACCGGGGCUAAACAUAUUACCGAAGCUGUGGAUUGUCCUUUGGACAAUGGUAGGAGAGCGUUCUAAGGGCGUUGAAGCAUGAUCGUAAGGACAUGUGGAGCGCUUAGAAGUGAGAAUGCCGGUGUGAGUAGCGAAAGACGGGUGAGAAUCCCGUCCACCGAUUGACUAAGGUUUCCAGAGGAAGGCUCGUCCGCUCUGGGUUAGUCGGGUCCUAAGCUGAGGCCGACAGGCGUAGGCGAUGGAUAACAGGUUGAUAUUCCUGUACCACCUAUAAUCGUUUUAAUCGAUGGGGGGACGCAGUAGGAUAGGCGAAGCGUGCGAUUGGAUUGCACGUCUAAGCAGUAAGGCUGAGUAUUAGGCAAAUCCGGUACUCGUUAAGGCUGAGCUGUGAUGGGGAGAAGACAUUGUGUCUUCGAGUCGUUGAUUUCACACUGCCGAGAAAAGCCUCUAGAUAGAAAAUAGGUGCCCGUACCGCAAACCGACACAGGUAGUCAAGAUGAGAAUUCUAAGGUGAGCGAGCGAACUCUCGUUAAGGAACUCGGCAAAAUGACCCCGUAACUUCGGGAGAAGGGGUGCUCUUUAGGGUUAACGCCCAGAAGAGCCGCAGUGAAUAGGCCCAAGCGACUGUUUAUCAAAAACACAGGUCUCUGCUAAACCGUAAGGUGAUGUAUAGGGGCUGACGCCUGCCCGGUGCUGGAAGGUUAAGAGGAGUGGUUAGCUUCUGCGAAGCUACGAAUCGAAGCCCCAGUAAACGGCGGCCGUAACUAUAACGGUCCUAAGGUAGCGAAAUUCCUUGUCGGGUAAGUUCCGACCCGCACGAAAGGCGUAACGAUUUGGGCACUGUCUCAACGAGAGACUCGGUGAAAUCAUAGUACCUGUGAAGAUGCAGGUUACCCGCGACAGGACGGAAAGACCCCGUGGAGCUUUACUGUAGCCUGAUAUUGAAAUUCGGCACAGCUUGUACAGGAUAGGUAGGAGCCUUUGAAACGUGAGCGCUAGCUUACGUGGAGGCGCUGGUGGGAUACUACCCUAGCUGUGUUGGCUUUCUAACCCGCACCACUNAUCGUGGUGGGAGACAGUGUCAGGCGGGCAGUUUGACUGGGGCGGUCGCCUCCUAAAAGGUAACGGAGGCGCUCAAAGGUUCCCUCAGAAUGGUUGGAAAUCAUUCAUAGAGUGUAAAGGCAUAAGGGAGCUUGACUGCGAGACCUACAAGUCGAGCAGGGUCGAAAGACGGACUUAGUGAUCCGGUGGUUCCGCAUGGAAGGGCCAUCGCUCAACGGAUAAAAGCUACCCCGGGGAUAACAGGCUUAUCUCCCCCAAGAGUUCACAUCGACGGGGAGGUUUGGCACCUCGAUGUCGGCUCAUCGCAUCCUGGGGCUGUAGUCGGUCCCAAGGGUUGGGCUGUUCGCCCAUUAAAGCGGUACGCGAGCUGGGUUCAGAACGUCGUGAGACAGUUCGGUCCCUAUCCGUCGUGGGCGUAGGAAAUUUGAGAGGAGCUGUCCUUAGUACGAGAGGACCGGGAUGGACAUACCUCUGGUGUACCAGUUGUCGUGCCAACGGCAUAGCUGGGUAGCUAUGUGUGGACGGGAUAAGUGCUGAAAGCAUCUAAGCAUGAAGCCCCCCUCAAGAUGAGAUUUCCCAACUUCGGUUAUAAGAUCCCUCAAAGAUGAUGAGGUUAAUAGGUUCGAGGUGGAAGCAUGGUGACAUGUGGAGCUGACGAAUACUAAUCGAUCGAAGACUUAAUCAA
rnacentral:rRNA from 1 species